rnacentral:lncRNA from 1 species
CUAAUAACACCCAGUAUGCAAGGCAGGCGGUGGAACCGAAUCCCAGCCAUGCAACUUGUGUGCUGUGCAACGAUGGCAAGUUAACCUGAGCCUGUUUCCUCAUGAGAAAUGAUUACCUUGGAAGCUGCUUCUAACAAUGUGACUAGAACCUUUAGGAAAAACACAUAGCACAAGCUUGCCACAGAAGAGAGGCUCAACAAAUAGAAAAACUUGAUUUCCAGCGCUCUUGUUGGGAAUAAAUGGAAGUCACUGUGAAUAUUGCAUACUGCCGAGAAGAGGAAAAAAAUCAAGUUUCUUGCCUAGGACUUUCUGUGCAGCUCCUAUGUCUUAGAAGAUGUGUUUGGCUCCCUUUUGUGAAAGGCUUUUCCUUCAGUUUAUUUACCUGUGUGAACAGAAUUCAAAAUUCUUUCAUCAUUUCGCUAAAGCUCAGUGAGGAGUGUCAACUCCACAAGCCAAAAAGCCUAAUCCUACGUUGGCAGCCAGAUUACACACAUCUGAAAUUGAACCACCAGAAAUACCAUACCCAGAAAAUCAUUUGAUCUGUGAACUGAAUCCUGUGAGGGUUCCGGGCCUCCUCAAGGCAGAAAGGGUUCAAUUUGAAAGGCGGUUAUUAGCCCUGUCCCAUGAGAGGGAGCGGGAGAUCCACAUCUUUCCUGGGAGCCUCGUGCCUUGCACACACCAUCGAAAACCUGUUCAUCUGCACUGGAAGCAGCAUGCAAAUAAAACGUUUUGGCUCUAUA